rnacentral:rRNA from 1 species
GACGAACGCUGGCGGCGUGCCUAAUACAUGCAAGUUGAGCGCUGAAGGUUGGUACUUGUACCAACUGGAUGAGCAGCGAACGGGUGAGUAACGCGUGGGGAAUCUGCCUUUGAGCGGGGGACAACAUUUGGAAACGAAUGCUAAUACCGUAUAAAAACUUUAAACACAAGUUUUAAGUUUGAAAGAUGCAAUUGCAUCACUCAAAGAUGAUCCCGCGUUGUAUUAGCUAGUUGGUGAGGUAAAGGCUCACCAAGGCGAUGAUACAUAGCCGACCUGGGAGGGUGAUCGGCCACAAUGGGACUGAGACACGGCCCAAACUCCUACGGGAGGGAGCAGUAGGGAAUCUUCGGCAAUGGACGAAAGUCUGAACGAGCAACGCCGCGGGAGUGAAGAAGGUUUUCGGGUCGUAAAACUCUGUUGGUAGGGAAGAACGUUGGUGGGAGUGGAAAGCUCAUCAAGUGACGGUAACUAACCAGAAAGGGACGGCUAACUACGUG